rnacentral:tRNA from 1 species
CAAAGGGUAGUUUAAAUAAAAUAUUAAUUUUGGAGAUUAAUGAUAAGAAUUUCUUUCCUUUGA